rnacentral:rRNA from 1 species
UACGGAGGAUGCGAGCGUUAUCCGGAUUUAUUGGGUUUAAAGGGAGUGUAGGCGGGAGGUCAAGUCAGCUGUGAAAUGUAUCUGCUUAACGGGUACACUGCAGUUGAAACUGGUUUUCUUGAGUGCGUAAGAGGCAGGCGGAAUUCGUUGUGUAGCGGUGAAAUGCUUAGAUAUGACGAGGAACUCCUAUUGCGAAGGCAGCUUGCUGGGUCGUUACUGACGCUGAUGCUCGAAGGUGCGGGGAUCAAACAGGAUUAGA